ensembl:lncRNA
AUUUGAUGCACAAGUUGUAACUCUGCACAAUUAGCACCCACCUCAUGAGCCGGCGGUUCUGAUUGUACAUCCUGUGGAGAAAAAUUAGCGGAUUGUGGUCAGUAAACACCACCACAGGGACAACACUAGAUCCGACGUACACUUCGAAAAAUUGAAGGGCUAAUAACAAAGCCAAUGUCUCCUGCUCGAUGGUGGAGUACCUUGUCUGACAGUCACUGAAUUUUUUUGAAAAGAAACAAAUGGGUCUAUCGAUCCCUUCACCGUCCUCCUGUAAGAGGACGGCGCCUGCGCCCACGGCGCUAGCGUCAACCUCCAUUUUAAAAGGUUUGCCAAAAUCAGGGGCUGCAAGCACCGGGGCAGUACACAGGAGUAGCUUCGCGGAAUUGAACGAAUGCUCACAUUCCGGAGACCACUUAAACGGAACCUUGGGUGACAAAAGUGAAGACAGGGGGGCUACCACCGUCGAAAAGUUUUUGCAAAACGUACGGUAAUAACCCACCAUACCUAGGAAACGGCGAAGCUCACGGCGCGUAACAGGGGCAGGGAAACUAGCUAUGGCUUCCACCUUGCUAGCUAACAACCGAACCUGCCCAUGUCCCACCUGUUUUCCAAGGUAUGUAACUGUAGCUUUUCCGAACUCGCACUUUGCCAGGUUUAACGUCAAGGAUGCUUUUUCUAAACGUUCAAACACCAUGUCUAGCGUAGCGAUAUGGUCGGCCCAAGUUGACGAAUAUAUUACGACGUCGUCGAUAUAUGCGGUACAGUUAGGAACAUCGGCAAACACAGUAUUUACUAGGCGUUGGAACGUAGCGGGGGCAUUGCACAUGCCAAAAGGCAUUACGGUAUAUUGCACGAAAUUGUCAGGGGUCACAAACGCAGAAAUCUCCGAGGCACGAGGGGUUAGAGGCACUUGCCAAUACCCUUUCAACAGGUCUAACUUCGUGACAAACACCGCGGAGCCGAUGCUGUCGAUGCAAUCUUCUAUUCAAGGUAACGGAUAAGAGUCUGGUGCAGUAACACCAUUAACUCGCCGAUAGUCUGUGCACAACCGGGAUGUGCCGUCUGGUUUUGGGACUAGGAUACAAGGUGAACUCCAAGCACUGUUACUGGCUUUGGCCAUGUUGUUUUUUAACAAGUACUCAAUCUCACCUUUCAUCUUCUCCCUCUUAAACGCAUUUACCCGGUACGGGUGUUGACGGAUGGGGGUCGCGUUUCCUACAUCAACAUCGUGUGUCAAAACCGUGGUACAUCCAGGUACGUCAUGAAACAAGGUGAGGUAGGAGUUAAUCAAGGACACAAGCUCUUGAGACUGCUCACAUUCCAAAUGUUUCAAAAGGGAUGGCAACUUUCCCAACAUUUCUGUAUUACCCAUACAUUCACCCGGUUUCACUGCAUGUCUUAACUCCAGACCGUCCUCCGGGUCAUCCUCCAGGUACGCCCCCGCCUGCAGCGCAACAGUGGCCACUGAAGAGACAGCGGGCUGGAUGGGCUUAGUGGAGAGAGUGUUAGAAGGACCUCGUGUACGCAAACAACACAAAUGGCACUCCCUCAUCCCAGUUUGGAUUAUCCAUACAGUAUUUUCGGAGCAUCGAUUUGAGGGUCUGGUGCCACCGCUCGAGUGCUCCCUGGCUUUCCGGAUGAUACGCACUCGAGACCUGGUGAGUAAUACCCAAUUCUUUUAGAGAGGUUACAAACAGUUUUGACAUAAAAUUUGAACCUUGAUCUGACUGAAGUACUUUCGGUAAGCCAAAUGUAGAGAAAAACUUGAUCAGGGCCUUAACUACAGUCUUGGCUGUGAUGGUACGGAGGGGAAUAGCCUCCGGAUACCGAGUAGCACUACACAUCACUGUUAAAAGGUAUUGGUUACCACUCCGCGUUCUUGGUAAAGGACCCACACAAUCCACGAUUACCCGUUCGAACGGUUCUCCCAGCACAGGAAUCGGGUGCAGAGGCGCCCGAGGGAUGACCUGGUUCGCUUUUCCUGUUAGUUGGCAUUCAUGACAGGUAUUACAAAAUUCCACAACAUCUGACUUUAGACCUGGCCAGAAAAAGUGGCGAAGGACUCUGUCAUAAGUCUUUGUUAUUCCUAGGUGCCCAGCCCAAGCAGGGUCAUGUGCUAGGGAUAACACUUGCUGUCUGAAUGGUUUAGGGACGACCACCUGCUUGACAACCCCUAAACCCCGAACGUUACCCUGCGCUGCCCACCUGCGCAUAAGAACGCCAGCCUCCAUGAAUUUUCAUUGAAGUGGAAAUACUGGACUGGGCUGGCUCCACGUUCACACGCUCAAGAAUCGAGUCUGACAGGUCCACCUCGUCUCCCAACCUACGGGACUGGGCCCGUGUAAGCACACAAGCUGGGAACACAUGAGGGUAAGCCUGUACUAAAAUGUCGUCCGUAGGUUCCAGGGUAGGUGUGUCCACCACCUCUAACAUGGGUGUUACAUGGCCACCGGCAAUGUCAUUCCCAAGCAGAAAUGUGACUCCCUCCACCGGCAGAGUUGGUACCACGCCAACACGAAAACGUCCCGACACUAGUUUGGACUUUAACCAGACCCAAUGCAGUGGUACAGACAUGGGGGUUGCUCCGAGUCCUUGUAGAAGGACGUUUGACCCACAGUAUGACCCAUGGGACCAGGGCAGGCUGUCUGCUAGUACUAAAGACUGCGCUGCCCCCGUGUCACGCAGUAUGGUG